UGCAAGUCGAGCGAACGGACGAGAAGCUUGCUUCUCUGAUGUUAGCGGCGGACGGGUGAGUAACACGUGGAUAACCUACCUAUAAGACUGGGAUAACUUCGGGAAACCGUAGCUAAUACCGGAUGAUAUUUUGAACCGCAUGGUUCAAAAGUGAAAGACGGUCUUGCUGUCACUUAUAGAUGGAUCCGCGCUGCAUUAGCUAGUUGGUAAGGUAACGGCUUACCAAGGCAACGAUGCAUAGCCGACCUGAGAGGGUGAUCGGCCACACUGGAACUGAGACACGGUCCAGACUCCUACGGGAGGCAGCAGUAGGGAAUCUUCCGCAAUGGGCGAAAGCCUGACGGAGCAACGCCGCGUGAGUGAUGAAGGUCUUCGGAUCGUAAAACUCUGUUAUUAGGGAAGAACAUAUGUGUAAGUAACUGUGCACAUCUUGACGGUACCUAAUCAGAAAGCCACGGCUAACUACGUGCCAGCAGCCGCGGUAAUACGUAGGUGGCAAGCGUUAUCCGGAAUUAUUGGGCGUAAAGCGCGCGUAGGCGGUUUUUUAAGUCUGAUGUGAAAGCCCACGGCUCAACCGUGGAGGGUCAUUGGAAACUGGAAAACUUGAGUGCAGAAGAGGAAAGUGGAAUUCCAUGUGUAGCGGUGAAAUGCGCAGAGAUAUGGAGGAACACCAGUGGCGAAGGCGACUUUCUGGUCUGUAACUGACGCUGAUGUGCGAAAGCGUGGGGAUCAAACAGGAUUAGAUACCCUGGUAGUCCACGCCGUAAACGAUGAGUGCUAAGUGUUAGGGGGUUUCCGCCCCUUAGUGCUGCAGCUAACGCAUUAAGCACUCCCGGCUCAACCGUGGAGGGUCAUUGGAAACUGGAAAACUUGAGUGCAGAAGAGGAAAGUGGAAUUCCAUGUGUAGCGGUGAAAUGCGCAGAGAUAUGGAGGAACACCAGUGGCGAAGGCGACUUUCUGGUCUGUAACUGACGCUGAUGUGCGAAAGCGUGGGGAUCAAACAGGAUUAGAUACCCUGGUAGUCCACGCCGUAAACGAUGAGUGCUAAGUGUUAGGGGGUUUCCGCCCCUUAGUGCUGCAGCUAACGCAUUAAGCACUCCGCCUGGGGAGUACGACCGCAAGGUUGAAACUCAAAGGAAUUGACGGGGACCCGCACAAGCGGUGGAGCAUGUGGUUUAAUUCGAAGCAACGCGAAGAACCUUACCAAAUCUUGACAUCCUUUGACAACUCUAGAGAUAGAGCCUUCCCCUUCGGGGGACAAAGUGACAGGUGGUGCAUGGUUGUCGUCAGCUCGUGUCGUGAGAUGUUGGGUUAAGUCCCGCAACGAGCGCAACCCUUAAGCUUAGUUGCCAUCAUUAAGUUGGGCACUCUAAGUUGACUGCCGGUGACAAACCGGAGGAAGGUGGGGAUGACGUCAAAUCCCAUCAUGCCCCUUAUGAUUUGGGCUACACACGUGCUACAAUGGACAAUACAAAGGGCAGCGAAACCGCGAGGUCAAGCAAAUCCCAUAAAGUUGUUCUCAGUUCGGAUUGUAGUCUGCAACUCGACUACAUGAAGCUGGAAUCGCUAGUAAUCGUAGAUCAGCAUGCUACGGUGAAUACGUUCCCGGGUCUUGUACACACCGCCCGUCACACCACGAGAGUUUGUAACACCCGAAGCCGGUGGAGUAACCUUUUAGGAGCUAGCCGUCGAAU
rnacentral:rRNA from 1 species